AUGGACAAAUUCCUGAGUCUGCUCAUCCUUUGGUUACAACUAAACUGGGUGAGCAGUAAGCAGGACGUGAGUCAGAGUCCUGAAGCUCUGAGCGUGAGAGAGGGAGACAGCGUGGAUCUCAACUGCAGUUACCCUGACAGCACUCUGCACUUCCUGCAGUGGUUUAGGCAGAAUCCCGGGAAAGGGCUCACAUCCCUACUGUCAAUUCAGGUGAAUCAGAAAGAGCAAACAAGUGGAAGAAUUACAGUCUCGUUGGAUAAACCAUCAGGACACAGUGCUUUACACAUUGCGACUUCUCAGCACAGUGACUCGACCACCAACCUCUGUGCUGUGAGCUACAGUGCGCAGAGGGAGCCUGUUCCCAGGACUCAGACUGCAGAUGGGCUCCAACCACGUCCUGGCUUGGCGCUGAGGAAACUUCUUCCAUUAAGGGGUUUUCUAUAUUGA